rnacentral:rRNA from 1 species
GAGAACUGCCAUACCAUGCUGAAAACACCGGUUCUCGUCCGAUCCCCGAAGUUAAGCAGCAUCGGGUCUGGUUAGUACUUGGAUGGGUGACCGCCUGGGAAUCCCAGAUGCUGUUCUCA